AUUGAACGCUGGCGGCAGGCUUAACACAUGCAAGUCGAGCGGAGUGAUGGUGCUUGCACUAUCACUUAGCGGCGGACGGGUGAGUAAUGCUUAGGAAUCUGCCUAUUAGUGGGGGACAACAUCUCGAAAGGGAUGCUAAUACCGCAUACGUGCUACGGGAGAAAGCAGGGGAUCUUCGGACCUUGCGCUAAUAGAUGAGCCUAAGUCGGAUUAGCUAGUUGGUGGGGUAAAGGCCUACCAAGGCGACGAUCUGUAGCGGGUCUGAGAGGAUGGCCAGCCACACUGGGACGGAAACACGGCCCAGACUCCUACGGGAGGCAGCAGGGGGGGAUAUUGCGCAAGGGGCGGAAGCCUGACGCAGCGACGCCGCGUGGGUGAUGAAGGCCUUCGGGUCGUAAAGCCCUGUCGAGGGGAACGAAACGGUCUCGACCUAACACGUCGAGGCCCUGACGGUACCCCUAAAGGAAGCACCGGCUAACUCCGUGCCAGCAGCCGCCGUAA
rnacentral:rRNA from 1 species